GGGGAAUAUUGGACAAUGGGCGCAAGCCUGAUCCAGCCAUGCCGCGUGGGUGAAGAAGGCCUUCGGGUUGUAAAGCCCUUUUGUUGGGAAAGAAAAGCAGCCGGCCAAUACCCGGUUGUUCUGACGGUACCCAAAGAAUAAGCACCGGCUAACUUCGUGCCAGCAGCCGCGGUAAUACGAAGGGUGCAAGCGUUAAUCGGAAUUACUGGGCGUAAAGCGCGCGUAGGUGGUUCGUUAAGUUGGAUGUGAAAGCCCCGGGCUCAACCUGGGAACUGCAUCCAAAACUGGCGAGCUAGAGUAUGGCAGAGGGUGGUGGAAUUUCCUGUGUAGCGGUGAAAUGCGUAGAUAUAGGAAGGAACACCAGUGGCGAAGGCGGCCAACUGGGCUUUUACUGACGCUGAGGCUCGAAAGCGUGGCGAGCAAACA
rnacentral:rRNA from 1 species